rnacentral:rRNA from 1 species
CGGACGGCUCAGUAACACGUAGUCAACCUAACUCGUGGACGUGGAUAACCUCGGGAAACUGAGAAUAAACCACGAUAGAUCAUAGUGCCUGGAGUGGCUUAUGGUCCAAACAGUUUACUGCCAUGGGAUGGGACUGCGGCCUAUCCGCUUGUUGGUGAGGUAAUGGCCCACCAAGGCGAUUACAGGUACGGGCUCUGAGAGGAGAAGCCCGGAGAUGGGUACUGAGACACGGACCCAGGCCCUAUGGGGCGCAGCAGGCGAGAAACCUUAGCAAUGUGCGAAAGCACGACUGGGUCAGUCCGAGUGAUUCCUGAUAAAGGAGUCUUUUGCUUGUCCUAAAAGCACAGGUGAAUAAGGGGUGGGCAAGUCUGGUGUCAGCCGCCGCGGUAAUACCAGCACCUCGAGUGGUCAGGACGUUUAUUGGGCCUAAAGCAUCCGUAGCCGGCUCUGCAAGUCUUCGGUUAAAUCCACCUGCUCAACAGAUGGGCCGCUGGAGAUACUACAGAGCUAGGGAGUGGGAGAGGCAGACGGUAUUCAGUGGGUAGGGGUAAAAUCCUCUGAUCCAUUGAGGACCACCAGUGGCGAAGGCGGUCUGCCAGAACACGUUCGACGGUGAGGGAUGAAAGCUGGGGGAGCAAACC